GACGAACGCUGGCGGCGUGCCUAAUACAUGCAAGUAGAACGCUGAAGGAGGAGCUUGCUCUUCUGGAUGAGUUGCGAACGGGUGAGUAACGCGUAGGUAACCUGCCUGGUAGCGGGGGAUAACUAUUGGAAACGAUAGCUAAUACCGCAUAAGAGUAGAUGUUGCAUGACAUUUACUUAAAAGGUGCAAUUGCAUCACUACCAGAUGGACCUGCGUUGUAUUAGCUAGUUGGUGGGGUAACGGCUUACCAAGGCGACGAUACAUAGCCGACCUGAGAGGGUGAUCGGCCACACUGGGACUGAGACACGGCCCAGAGUCCUACGGGAGGCAGCAGUAGGGAAUCUUCGGCAAUGGACGGAAGUCUGACCGAGCAACGCCGCGUGAGUGAAGAAGGUUUUCGGAUCGUAAAGCUCUGUUGUAAGGGAAGAACGAGUGUGAGAGUGGAAAGUUCACACUGUGACGGUAUCUUACCAGAAAGGGACGGCUAACUACGUG
rnacentral:rRNA from 1 species